rnacentral:rRNA from 1 species
UACGUAGGGUCCAAGCGUUAUCCGGAAUCACUGGGCGUAAAGCGUGCGUAGGUGGCGCGUUAAGUGAGAUGUUAAAUCGUGUGGCUCAACCAUAUCGAUGCAUCUCAUACUGGCGUGCUAGAGGACAGCAGAGGCAAGUGGAAUUUGUAGUGUAGCAGUGAAAUGCGUAGAGAUCCGGAAGAACACCGGUGGCGAAGGCGGCCUGCUGGGACAUGGCUGACGCUGAGGCGCGACAGCGUGGGGAGCAAACAGG